rnacentral:rRNA from 1 species
CCCUUAGAUGUUCUGGGCCACACGCGCGCUACACUGAUUCAUGCAACAAGUUUUGUCCUUGGCUGAUAGGCCUGGGUAAUCUUUGAACGUGAAUCGUGAUGGGGAUAGAUGAUUGCAAUUAUUCAUCUUCAACGAGGAAUUCCUAGUAAACGCAAGUCAUCAGCUUGCAUUGAUUACGUCCCCGCCCUUUGUACACACCGCCCGUCGCACCUACCGAUUGAAUGGUCCGGUGAAAUCUUCGGAUCUGAGAGAUGUCUGAUUAAUUUCGGACGCCUUUUGGAAAAGUUGUUUAAACCUUACCAUUUAGAGGAAGGUGAAGUCGUAACA